rnacentral:rRNA from 1 species
UACGGAGGGGGCGAGCGUUAUUCGGAAUUAUUGGGCGUAAAGGGCGCGUAGGCGGCUCGAUAAGUCAAAGGUGAAAUCCCUCGGCUCAACUGAGGAACUGCCUUUGAAACUGUCGAGCUUGAGUCCGGGAGGGGGUAGCGGAAUUCCCAGUGUAGCGGUGAAAUGCGUAGAUAUUGGGAGGAACACCGAUGGCGAAGGCAGCCCCCUGGGAUAACACUGACGCUCAUGCACGAAAGCGUGGGGAGCAAACAGG